UUACAGUGCCACCUGUUGGUCAAAAGUGAUAAGUCAUUUUAAUCAUAAUACUAGUGCUUGUAUUUAUGAUUUUUCCGCUAUUUCAAUUACAAUCAUCCUAAAAUUACUGUAAUUGUGAAAAUCUCUGCACAGCAAAUUAUCCAGUGUUGAAAUCCUAGUGUUGAGGACUUUUAGAGUAAAGUGUUAAAGUUGUGGUGUUGAAUUUUAGAGGAUUAACACUAGCUAGUGUAAACAGCCCCCUCUGGCCGGUGUUAAUACGCAGAGUUACCUUUAUUAACACUGUUGAGUGUUAUUAGUCACAUCCGGGACAUUUGCUUGUGUGCGCGCCUGAACCAUCUGAAAUAUUUUUUCACAGACGCCAUUUUCUUUGCUCGCGUUGCAGCUCAUAUGAGAACGGAAUUCGGCGAAAUAAAUUGUAUAAUCUUAGUCAUAAAAUGUGUUUUGUAAUAUCAUAUCGUUUUGUAACAAUAUUUAUUUGCUGUGUGGACAUACGUUUCUCAAGGACAUUUCCUUUCACUCACGAUGCGGAACAGACGAGGACGUCAUUUACUCCAAAACUUUUUUCUCAAGAGAGAUAUUUUCUUCCACUCACGAUGGGGAAAAUAUGGGGAAUCUGUUUCUUAUCAAAGGAAAACACCAUAAAUUUGAAUUGCUAUGCAGUGCAGACCGUGAUGCAGACGCGGGUUACUAAGAGAAGGGAGAGACCAGAAAGAGAUCUUUUCUUUCACUCGCAAAGCGAAGCAGACGG